rnacentral:rRNA from 1 species
UACGAGGGGGGCGAGCGUUGUUCGGAAUUAUUGGGCGUAAAGGGUGCGUAGGCGGUUCCGCAAGUCCUGUGUGAAAUCUUCGGGCUCAACUCGAAGUCUGCACGGGAAACUGCGGGGCUUGAGUGUGGGAGAGGUGAGUGGAAUUCCCGAUGUAGCGGUGAAAUGCGUAGAUAUCGGGAGGAACACCUGUGGCGAAAGCGGCUCACUGGACCACAACUGACGCUGAUGCACGAAAGCUGGGGGAGCAAACAGG